UUUUUUUUUAAACAUAAAAUUCCCGUGAAAUUCAUACACUGCAAAUGGAUGAAUAAAAAAAUUGUGCAGAGACUUCAUGGAGAGGUCAUCCAAAUUAAUACCUCUUCCUGAAAUUCCUGUGGCUUUAACAGCUUUCUUCUGCUUCUCCUAACAAAUGAUUACGAGCUUUUCUUUUUUUAACUAAACAUACAAAUGAAAUUCUAUAUGAAAAAGAAUAAAAAUAUAAGGACAAAAGCUAUGAACAUGGGAAAAAUAAUGAGGGACGAUUGUCCCAAAGUGCAUAUGUAAAUGUACAAGCAUAGAGUAUCAUUCAACCAAAGUCCCUUGUGUGUUCUCUUCACACAAAUCUGACUGGGAUUUACUUGGAAUGAUAGUGGGAGGCGACCACUGAUCUGGAACCAUCAGAAAAUAGGCAGUCAUUGCUUUCCUGAACCUCUUUUUGUAUUGCUUUGGAGAAAUAACAGUUGGGGAUGAGUUCUUUGGCCCACCAAGUAUGCCUGAAGCUUUCACCCAAGUUUCCAGAUGCUUGUCCCAAGUAUACUGCCUCAUGAAAUCAAUGAUUCCGAGAACUAAUUCAUGCUUCUCUUCAUCCACCCCAACCAAUAACGAGUAAUCCAUUACAUCAAUAGAUGCAAGAAAGGAAGUAUCAUUCCAGACAGCUCUCUCUAGCAACCGCUUUGCCUUGUUUCCAACAAAAAU
rnacentral:misc_RNA from 1 species